rnacentral:rRNA from 1 species
CCUACGGGAGGCUGCAGUAGGGAAUAUUCCGCAAUGGGGGGAACCCUGAAGCAGCAACGCCGCGUGGAGGAUGAAGGUUUUCGGAUUGUAAACUCCUUUUGUUAGAGAAGAUAAUGACGGUAUCUAACGAAUAAGCACCGGCUAACUCCGUGCCAGCAGCCGCGGUAAUACGGAGGGUGCAAGCGUUACUGGGAAUCACUGGGCGUAAAGAGCGCGUAGGCGGGAUAGCAAGUCAGAUGUGAAAUCCUAGGGCUUAACCAUAGAACUGCAUUUGAAACUGUUAUUCUAGAGUAUGGGAGAGGUAGGUGGAAUUCUUGGUGUAGGGGUAAAAUCCGUAGAGAUCAAGAGGAAUACUCAUUGCGAAGGCGACCUGCUAGAACAUAACUGACGCUGAUGCGCGAAAGCGUGGGGAGCAAACAGGAUUAGAUACCCCAGUAGUC